AUUGAACGCUGGCGGCAGGCCUAACACAUGCAAGUCGAGCGGGGGAGGGGAGCUUGCUCCUGGAUUCAGCGGCGGACGGGUGAGUAAUGCCUAGGAAUCUGCCUGGUAGUGGGGGAUAACGUCCGGAAACGGGCGCUAAUACCGCAUACGUCCUGAGGGAGAAAGUGGGGGAGCUUCGGACCUCACGCUAUCAGAUGAGCCUAGGUCGGAUUAGCUAGUUGGUGGGGUAAAGGCCUACCAAGGCGACGAUCCGUAACUGGUCUGAGAGGAUGAUCAGUCACACUGGAACUGAGACACGGUCCAGACUCCUACGGGAGGCAGCAGUGGGGAAUAUUGGACAAUGGGCGCAAGCCUGAUCCAGCCAUGCCGCGUGUGUGAAGAAGGUCUUCGGAUUGUAAAGCACUUUAAGUUGGGAGGAAGGGCAGUAAGUUAAUACCUUGCUGUUUUGACGUUACCAACAGAAUAAGCACCGGCUAACUUCGUG
rnacentral:rRNA from 1 species